rnacentral:rRNA from 1 species
AACAAACGCUGGCGGCGUGCCUAACACAUGCAAGUCGUACGAGAAAGUCGGCUUCGGCCGAUGAGUACAGUGGCGCACGGGUGAGUAGCGCGUGGGUAAUCUGCCCCCCGGUCAGGAAUAACCCGCCGAAAGGCGGGCUAAUACCCGAUAACACUGACGCUCCGCGGAGCGUCUUUCAAAGAAGGCCUCUGUUUACAAGCUUUCGCCGGAGGAUGAGCCCGCGUACCAUUAGCUAGUUGGCAGGGUAAUGGCCUACCAAGGCUACGAUGGUUAGCUGGUCUGAGAGGAUGGCCAGCCACACUGGAACUGAGACACGGUCCAGACUCCUACGGGAGGCAGCAGUAGGGAAUAUUGGACAAUGGGCGAAAGCCUGAUCCAGCCAUGCCGCGUGAGUGAUGAAGGCCUUAGGGUUGUAAAGCUCUUUCGGCGGGGACGAUAAUGACGGUACCCGCAGAAGAAGCCCCGGCUAACUUCGUG